rnacentral:rRNA from 1 species
CCUACGGGUGGCUGCAGUGGGGAAUAUUGCACAAUGGGGGAAACCCUGAUGCAGCGACGCCGCGUGAGUGAAGAAGUAUUUCGGUGUGUUAAGCUCUAUCAGCAGGGAAGAAAACGAAGGUACCUGAUUAAGAAUCACCGUCUAACUACGUGCCAGCAGCCGCGGUAAUACGUAGGGGGCAAGCGUUAUCCGGAUUUACUGGGUGUAAAGGGAGCGUAGACGGCAGGACAAGUCCGAAGUGAAAUGCCGGGGCUUAACCCCGGAAUUGCUUUGGAAACUGUGCAGCUAGAGUGCAGGAGGGGUAGGUGGAAUGCAUAGUGUAGCGGUGAAAUGCGUAGAUAGUAGGAGGAACACCAGUGGCGAAGGCGGCUUACGGGGCUGUAUCUGACGUUGAGGCUCGAAAGCGUGGGGAGCAAACAGGAUUAGAUACCCGUGUAGUC